CUCACCAAAGAAGGUUAAUCUGGACAACAAAACCUGCGUUCCUGCUAGCUUAUUGUCCCAGCUAAACCAGGUUGGACUUCCCCAGUUUGCAAAGAUUUUUCCAUUUUGCCCAGUCACAUAUUGAAGAUAUGAUUGAUCCCCUGUAGCAUGGUAGAGCCAGCUAGCUGCCCACAGGAGCUCAUCUCCAUAUCCUGUUGAAUUGUAAUAAGUCUGAACUUGGGGGAUGCUCUUACUAUAGGAACCUCUAUGUUUAUCAGCAAAACUAAAUAAUUGUUCUGCAUGCUCAAGGAGAGUGCUUGAAUAUGUGGGGUCACUUUUCUUAAACACCAGCGAUGCUGAAGCCAUAGCUGCUGCAGUUUCAGCUGCAACAUCUGUUCCUGGAGAAGAUAUGUUCACCUGAGUGAGGGGCCUCUUCUCAGUCNGAGGCCUCUUCUCAGUCAUGUCCUCAGGCCUGUCCCAACAACCAUGGUCUGUCUUAGGAUCACCAACCUGAAUAUAGAGCACAUUGUCCGCAGCAUGAGCAUUGAUAAGGUAGUCAGUGAUCCACUUGAGCGAAUCUUGAGCGGGUUCCAACUGAUUAACAGCAUCCAUUUGAUCCCCAUACUCAAG
rnacentral:misc_RNA from 1 species